rnacentral:rRNA from 1 species
UACGAAGGGGGCUAGCGUUGCUCGGAAUUACUGGGCGUAAAGCGCACGUAGGCGGACUCUUAAGUCGGUGGUGAAAUCCUGGAGCUCAACUCCAGAACUGCCUUCGAUACUGGGAGUCUUGAGUCCGGGAGAGGUGAGUGGAACUGCGAGUGUAGAGGUGAAAUUCGUAGAUAUUGGGAAGAACACCAGUGGCGAAGGCGGCUAACUGGUCCAGAUCUGACGCUGAGGUGCGAAAGCGUGGGGAGCAAACAGG